CGCACCUUGCGCUCUCUGGUAUUCCAGAGAGCAUGCCUGUUUGAGUGUCAUGAAUUCCUCAAACCCCAAUGUUUUGCAAAAUUCAUUGCUUGGGUUUGGUUUUGGACGUGUGCUGCUUUAUACGCAGCUCGUCUCAAAGACAUUAGCAGGGCUUUUCAAUUUAGUUGAAUAGCUAUUACUUGAUGUGAUAAGUAUUACGUCGGUAUAUAGUUGUUUGCCAUGUGAAGAAGCCUGCUUCUAAUCCGGCGAGAAGUUCCACCUUCGACCCAAAUUCAUUUUAAACUCUGGCCUCAAAUCAGGUAGGAUUACCCGCUGAACUUAA
rnacentral:misc_RNA from 1 species